AAAUUGAAGAGUUUGAUCAUGGCUCAGAUUGAACGCUGGCGGCAGGCCUAACACAUGCAAGUCGAACGGUAACAGAAAGCAGCUUGCUGCUUUGCUGACGAGUGGCGGACGGGUGAGUAAUGUCUGGGAAACUGCCUGAUGGAGGGGGAUAACUACUGGAAACGGUAGCUAAUACCGCA
rnacentral:rRNA from 1 species